GAUGAACGCUGGCGGCGUGCCUAAUACAUGCAAGUCGAGCGAACAGACGAGGAGCUUGCUCCUCUGACGUUAGCGGCGGACGGGUGAGUAACACGUGGAUAACCUACCUAUAAGACUGGGAUAACUUCGGGAAACCGGAGCUAAUACCGGAUAAUAUAUUGAACCGCAUGGUUCAAUAGUGAAAGACGGUUUUGCUGUCACUUAUAGAUGGAUCCGCGCCGCAUUAGCUAGUUGGUAAGGUAACGGCUUACCAAGGCAACGAUGCGUAGCCGACCUGAGAGGGUGAUCGGCCACACUGGAACUGAGACACGGUCCAGACUCCUACGGGAGGCAGCAGUAGGGAAUCUUCCGCAAUUGGCGAAAGCCUGACGGAGCAACGCCGCGUGAGUGAUGAAGGUCUUCGGAUCGUAAAACUCUGUUAUUAGGGAAGAACAAAUGUGUAAGUAACUAUGCACGUCUUGACGGUACCUAAUCAGAAAGCCACGGCUAACUACGUG
rnacentral:rRNA from 1 species